GACGAACGCUGGCGGCGUGCCUAAUAAAUGCAAGUCGAGCGCAGGAAACUGACGGAACUCUUCGGAGGGAAGGCAGCGGAAUGAGCGGCGGACGGGUGAGUAACACGUAAGGAACCUGCCUUAAGGAUUGGGAUAACUCCGAGAAAUCGGAGCUAAUACCGGAUAGUUCAUCGGACCGCAUGGUCCGUUGAUGAAAGGCGCUUCGGCGUCACCUUGAGAUGGCCUUGCGGUGGAUUAGCUAGUUGGGGGGGUAACGGCCCACCAAGGCGACGAUGCAUAGCCGACCUGAGAGGGUGAUGGGCCACACUGGGACUGAGACACGGACCAGACUCCUACGGGAGGCAGCAGUAGGGAAUCGUCCACAAUGGACGAAAGUCUGAUGGAGCAACGCCGCGUGAGUGAUGAAGGUUUUCGGAUCGUAAAACUCUGUUGUAAGGGAAGAACACGUACGAGAGGAAAGGCUCGUACCUUGACGGUACCUUACGAGAAAGCCACGGCUAACUACGUGCCAGCCGCCGCGGUAAUAC
rnacentral:rRNA from 1 species